GUAGAAAAGUCUGUUAUGAUGUGGGACCUAUAACCCCAAGGCGGCAUUUUGCCUUCUACAA
rnacentral:tRNA from 1 species